rnacentral:rRNA from 1 species
AGAGUUUGAUCCUGGCUCAGGAUGAACGCUAGCUACAGGCUUAACACAUGCAAGUCGCGGGGCAGCAUUAAGUUAGCUUGCUAACUUAGAUGGCGACCGGCGCACGGGUGAGUAACGCGUAUCCAACCUGCCCAUCACCACGGGAUAAUCCGUCGAAAGGCGGUCUAAUACCGUAUGAGGUCCUUCGAUGACAUCAGAAGAGGACGAAAGGUCAGCGGUGACGGAUGGGGAUGCGUCUGAUUAGGCAGUAGGCGGGGCAACGGCCCACCUAACCGACGAUCAGUAGGGGUUCUGAGAGGAAGGUCCCCCACAUUGGAACUGAGACACGGUCCAAACUCCUACGGGAGGCAGCAGUGAGGAAUAUUGGUCAAUGGCCGUAAGGCUGAACCAGCCAAGUAGCGUGAGGGAUGACGGCCCUAUGGGUUGUAAACCUCUUUUAGACGGGGAUAAAGUGAGUGACGUGUCAUUCAUUGCAGGUACCGUCAGAAUAAGGACCGGCUAAUUCCGUGCCAGCAGCCGCGGUAAUACGGAAGGUCCGGGCGUUAUCCGGAUUUAUUGGGUUUAAAGGGAGCGUAGGCCGCGGAUUAAGCGUGUUGUGAAAUGCAGGGGCUCAACCUCUGGACUGCAGCGCGAACUGGUCCGCUUGAGUGCGCACGAGGCAGGCGGAAUUUGUGGUGUAGCGGUGAAAUGCUUAGAUAUCACGAAGAACCCCGAUUGCGAAGGCAGCUUGCCGGGGCGCGACUGACGCUGAAGCUCGAAAGUGCGGGUAUCGAACAGGAUUAGAUACCCUGGUAGUCCGCACGGUAAACGAUGGAUGCCCGCUGUGCGCCCCUUAGGGUGCGCGGCCAAGCGAAAGCGUUAAGCAUCCCACCUGGGGAGUACGCCGGCAACGGUGAAACUCAAAGGAAUUGACGGGGGCCCGCACAAGCGGAGGAACAUGUGGUUUAAUUCGAUGAUACGCGAGGAACCUUACCCGGGCUUGAAAUGCAUCUGACCGGGCCGGAAACGGUCUUUCCCAGCGAUGGGCAGAUGUGUAGGUGCUGCAUGGUUGUCGUCAGCUCGUGCCGUGAGGUGUCGGCUUAAGUGCCAUAACGAGCGCAACCCCUCUCCUUAGUUGCCAUCAGGUGAUGCUGGGCACUCUGGGGACACUGCCGCCGUAAGGUGUGAGGAAGGUGGGGAUGACGUCAAAUCAGCACGGCCCUUACGUCCGGGGCUACACACGUGUUACAAUGGCGCGUACAGAGGGCAGGCCGCCGGCGACGUCGGUCCAAUCCAUAAAACGCGUCCCAGUUCGGACUGGGGUCUGCAACCCGACCCCACGAAGCUGGAUUCGCUAGUAAUCGCGCAUCAGCCAUGGCGCGGUGAAUACGUUCCCGGGCCUUGUACACACCGCCCGUCAAGCCAUGGAAGUUGGGGGUACCUGAAGUCCGUAACCGCAAGGAUCGGCCUAGGGUAAAACCAGUGACUGGGGCUAAGUCGUAACAAGGUAGCCGUACCGGAAGGUGCGGCUG